GCAGCAGCAUCCUAGAAAAGAAACUGACUGGAAAGCUUCAGGCUGUUUCAGUGUAAGAUGAAGCUACUGCUUCUGAUCGCAGCCAUCUUGGCAAUAACAGUUGGUUUCCCGGUCACUCCAGGCCAGGAAAGAGAACCACGAAGU